GACGAACGCUGGCGGCGUGCUUAACACAUGCAAGUCGAACGGUAAGGCCCUUCGGGGUACACGAGUGGCGAACGGGUGAGUAACACGUGGGUGAUCUGCCCUGCACUUCGGGAUAAGCCUGGGAAACUGGGUCUAAUACCGGAUAGGACCACUGCCUGCAUGGGUGGUGGUGGAAAGCUUUUGCGGUGUGGGAUGGGCCCGCGGCCUAUCAGCUUGUUGGUGGGGUGAUGGCCUACCAAGGCGACGGCGGGUAGCCGGCCUGAGAGGGUGACCGGCCACACUGGGACUGUGUUACGGCCCAGACUCCUACGGGAGGCAGCAGUGGGGAAUAUUGCACAAUGGGCGCAAGCCUGAUGCAGCGACGCCGCGUGAGGGAUGACGGCCUUCGGGUUGUAAACCUCUUUCAGCACCGACGAAGCGCAAGUGACGGUAGGUGCAGAAGAAGGACCGGCCAACUACGUGCCAGCAGCCGCUGUAA
rnacentral:rRNA from 1 species